GAAUGUAUUUUAUGAUCAUACAUACUUUUGCUAUUUAAUUUAACAAUAAUAGAUGUAUAUUAAACACUUAUAAACGCAUACUUUAUUUUGAUUCUUUUUUUUACCAUGGACACAGAUUUUGUUUGAAUUUAUAUAGAAUAUUAGUUUGCCUAGAAAAAUAUCUUUUAGAUUUCGACUUAUAAUAAUACAUUAACUAAUAUAAUAAUAAUACUAUACAAUUUCACAAUAUUUGGUACAGAUCAAAACACUUUUUAAUAAAUAGUUUGUUGACAUUAGAAUUGAAAGUCUUAUUGUUUUAAUAUAAAAAAAUUUCUGACUUCAACUUUACAAAUGAAUAAUUUGUUUGUUGUCUAAGGAAUGUAUUUUAUGAUCAUACAUACUUUUGCUAUUUAAUUUAACAAUAAUAGAUGUAUAUUAAAUACUUAUAAACGCACACUUUAUUUUGAUUCUUUUUACAUAGCAGUUUGCAUUAAAUAUACUUAUGACAUCACCUUUUAACAGUACAUUAUUUGGUUUAUUAUGAUAGGAAUGUGUAUUAUGAUCAUACACGCGUUUAGAUAUAAAAUAUUACAAUUCCAAAUGAAAUAAUAAUAAAUGUAUAAUUUGAUUAAAUGUUGAAUAGCAUACUAGUUUGCUUAUACUAAUAAUCUUUCUGACUUCCACUUUUAAUUAUAAAUUAUAUUAAUCUUUGAGAAAAUCAUGUUUAUUUUAAUCAAACAUACAUUUUGAUAUUGUCUUUCACAAUAUUUGAUACAAAUGAAAUAUGUAUAAAUGCAUUCAUUGCUUUUAUUUCUGUAACAUAACUGUUUUUUUAUAUUCAAAAUCACUCGGACUGAGAUUAUAACUGUUAAAUUAUAGAAGUUUUUGUGUUAGAAUUGUGUGUCAUAAUCAGAACUACUAUAUGCUAUAUAAUUUCACAAUAUUUUAUUUCAAAUUUAAAUAAUUGUAAAUUCAUAAUUUGUUUAAUUUGAAAUUGCAUAGCAUUUUGUAUACAUUCAAAAUCCUAAUGAUUUUAUCUUUUUUAAAAAUUUUCAAUUUAUUUAUUAUAUGAAUAGGUUUUAUUAUCAUACACACGUUUUUCUACAGAAAUUCACAUUAUUUAUUACUUAUUGUGUAUACCUAUAGACACAUGUUUUGUUUGAAUUAAAAUUGCAUAGCAGUUUGUAUUUAUUAAAAAAUCUUCUGACUUUCAUUUUUAAUAUUAAAUUAUCUAAAGUUUUGUGAUAAGAAUUAGUUUUUAUCAUUAUACACGUGGUUGAAUACAAUUUACACAAUAUAAGAUAAUUUAAAUAUCCUUAGACACAG